rnacentral:rRNA from 1 species
AGCGCAACCCCUACGUUUAGUUGCUAACGCGUGAAGGCGAGCACUCUAGACGAACUGCCGUUGACAAAACGGAGGAAGGUGGGAUGACGUCAAAUCAUCAUGCCCCUUAUGUUCUGGGCUACACACGUGCUACAAUGGCCGGUACAGACGGACGCAAAGCCGCGAGGUGGAGCAAAUCCUAAAAAGCCGGUCUCAGUUCGGAUUGCAGGCUGCAAUUCGCCUGCAUGAAGUCGGAAUCGCUAGUAAUCGCAGGUCAGCAUACUGCGGUGAAUACGUUCCCGGGCCUU